UCCUGGUUAGCUCAGUUGGUAGAGCGCUCCACUUGAAAUGGAGAUGUCCCGGGUUCGAUACCCGGACCAGGCG
rnacentral:tRNA from 2 species